UCCUUAUUGUUUCCAACUACCACCACCACCUCUCUCUACUACUCAACUCACCUCACUACUAACCCACAAUGACUGCCUGCAAGUCAGUGGGUUUUAAGGGAAGAGCAAGAGAUGUCACAAAGGAGGGCAGGUUCUUGUCACCAUGGCAACCCCUCCACCUGGACCUGGCCCCUCCUGAGAGUGAUGCUUCUCUGUCAGAACUUGGAGGCACCUUCUGUUCCGCCUGCAGCUGGGCUGCAUCUUCUCUCCGCAGAUUCAUGUCAGCAUUUCACAUCCUUCUUCCUGCAGCCUCAUUUCCAAAGGGAGACCAUCCCCAUAUCUUUCAAGGCAGGCUAGGGGUCUCCAUAGCUCAGGAUUGGACCAUCUGCUUUGCAUACAGGUCUUCUGUCCUGGGCGGCAUCUCCGGGGGGGUGGGAAUGUCCCCCCGCAUUCGAAACCCUGGAUAGCUGCUGCCACUCAGUGCAGGCUAGUUCAAGAAGGAUAUUGAGCAGCUGGAAGGUGAGCAGAGGAGGGCGAUCAGGAUGAUGAAGGGUCUGGAAACCAAGCCUGAUGAGGAACAGUUGAGGCAGCUGGGUAUGUUUAGCCUGGAGAAGAGGAGAGAGGAAAGCCAUCUUCCAAUAUCUGAGGGCUGCAAGAGGGAGCAAGCUUGUUUUCUGCUGCUCCAGAGGGGAGGGCAGGAGAGGAGAUACAGACUAAACAUUAGAAAGAACUUUCUGAUGGUAAGACUCUCUGGGAUUGUGGUGGACUCUCCUUCCUUGGAGGAUAUUGAGCAGCUAUUAAAAGAAUUAUGAUUCUUUUAAUAAUAAUAAUAAUUUCAGUGAGCUGGGUGACAAGAAAUUUUCUGCACCGGGUACCACCUGACCAUGCUACACCACUGCAGCCAGCCUAAACUUACACCAGAUCUAAAUCCCAUUCAGCAGUGGGGUUACUGCUGCCAUGACUAAGCCUGGCAGAGGAAAAAUAUUCCUUCAAAAUAGUGUUUUAUGUCAGGUUUCUUUUUCUUUUUCUUUCUUUUUUUUUGCAUAUAUUUUUACUGGGUUUUCUGUUUUACAAUUUAAAGUACUCAUUUUUACAUCCUUAAGAUAUCUAUGACUUCCCUUCUUCUCUUUCCAUGGUUCAUUUUGCAUAUUCAUAAAUCCCUGCAUAUUUUACAAAAACUAAACCAUUCGGUAUUCCAUUAUUGCUAUUGAAUUUAUCUUAAUGCUGCCAGUGUUUUCAGCUGUAAACAAUUAUUACCCAUAUAUUCAAUUAACAUUUUCAAAUCUUCUCUAAACGUAUGUUCUUCUGGUUCUCUUGUUCUAUAUGUUAAGUCUGUGAGUUGUGCAGAUUCUGUCAACUUAAGCUGACAUUCUUCUUUGGUUGGGACCUCAUUCGUUUUCCUUUUUGGGGCUAACAAUACAUGGGCCGCAGUAGUGGCAUACAUAAAUAACCUUUUUUGACACCUGGGAAUUUCCGUAUGAAUUAUCCCCAACAGAAAGGACUCUGGGUUUUUGGGGGGAAAUACUUUUAAAGCUUUUUUUCCAAUUCAUUAUGGACCAUUUCCCAAUACUCUUUUACCCUUUUACAAGUCCAAUGUUUCAUGUCAGGUUUCCAGGUCAUGUGGCUGACAUGAAAGGGCUUAGCAUCCAGCCUAUGUCUCCAACAUAUAUUUAAAGGACUUUUAAAUCACCCUUCCUCAAGAAUCUUGUGAACUAUAGUUUACCCCACACAGAGCUACAAUUCCCACCACCUUUAACAAAUUACAGUUCCCAAGGUUUUGGGGCUGAGGUUGCUUUUAAUGUAUGGUGUGUACACAGCCUUGAACACAUGAAGUUAUUAAAACAGGUAGCCCGUUCCAUUGAACCACUUACCCUAUAAAUAUAUCCGUUUCCUCAAUCUCCAGUGCCAUAAUUAGCCACUUCAAACUUGCUGGAACAGUCAUUGUUUUCUAAUGCCUGGCUCAGGUGAUUUUAGCAGCAAUUAGCUUUUUCUGAAGUAAUAAUCCCAUAGUUACCUGUCCUUGUUCAAAGAUGUUCGGUAACACUGUUAAACGCUCGCGCUUUAUACUUAACUAUUAUAUGGGUGGGUGGGGGAAAACCUCAGUGAUUUGAUUCCAAUAUAUCCGAGCACGAAAAGAUUUGCCGUAUAUGUGUGGGAAGUCUGCAUAAUCAUCGUGGCAUUUCCAACAGUUAAUUGUAUUUGAUUUUCAAGGACCUUUUUAAUCUGUAAGUCAUAUGCCACUGGAAGGUCAAAUUACAUCUUUACAUAGUGAAAACUGUACAAUUAUAAUAUGAAUCUUUCCCCCAGGUAGUCCUUAUGAGGUAUCUAAACCCUAUAUUCAUAAUAUUGUGCAUUGCUUCUUUUCUGGUUUAGUCAUCAUCAGUUAAUUUGUAUGCUGCUUUUUCUAUGGUAAACCACGUUCCAAGCAUUUCUCAAUGUCAGAACAGAAUACAUAUUAUUGCAACAUUUGAAGAUAAUUCCAUACCCUCCAACAUUUCUCCGAUGAAAAUAGGGACACCCUAUUCCAUAAUAAGCAUUUUACUGUUUAUACCGUGCCCAUCUUAUUGGGUUGCCCCAGCCACUCUGGGUGGCUUCCAACAUAUAUAAAAACAUAAUAAAACAUCAAACAAUUAAAAAGUUCCCUAUACAGGGCUGCCUUCAGAUGUCUUGGGGGGUUGAAUAAUUCCAUGCUCUCCAACAUUUCUCUGAUGAAAAUAGGAACAUCCUACCAUACCUUCCAAGAUUUCUCCGACAAAAAUAGGGAAGUCCUAAGGAAAAGCAGGACAUUCUGGGAUCAAAUCAGAAAUUGGGCCAUCUUCUGUAAAUCCGGGACUUUCCCUGGAAAACAGGGACACUUGGCGGGAUUGCAAUUCAUUAACAGUUACAAUUAUCUGUAAAAAUCAAACGUUUAAUAAGUUUUUACUUUUUUUCACACUAGGAUAAAACAAUCAUAGUAAAGCCAAAUGACAGAAAUACAAAAACAAAUUCCAAGUUACAGUAAGCAACAACUAUAACUGGAAAUAUAUGUUGUUGGCAACAACAACCCCUCUUGAGAUGGGACAGACAGGGCAUCUGUUAGCCAAGUCUUACAACAAAUUACCUCAAUGCAUCUUCAUCUCAUAGUGCAAAUUGUCCUCUCUUCCUAAUUUCCUCCCCAUUGAUAACAGGAUAAUCCAAACCCAAGCCAGGCACUGCUACUAACAUUGUCCUGAGUGCCAGGCAAAUUGAUGUGUGCUGGCACUGCAUCAGUGAUGCUGUCCAGUGAUGGCAGUGGGGAGAGCUUGGGAUCCACUGGAUCCUGAGCUGGCUCUGACCCUCCCCAUGUUGGGGUUUUCCAUGUGUUGCCACCAGUGGUGUUUCUGCUCACAGAAUGUGGAGAUCUGAGCUGGUGGAGUGAUGCCAGUGUCACUCUCUCUAGGGCUAGUCAAUUCUUUAAAAAUGUAGUAUAAACACCGACAACUGGGAAACACUGGCCUGUGAGUGCUCCAGUUGGAGAACAGCCUUUACCAAAGGUGGCAUGGGCUUUGAAGCCGCUCGAACUCAGGACAAAGGGAGAAAUGUGCUGAGAGGAAGUCAUGCUUGGCAAACCCUCACCGUGAUCAACUCCCACCCAGAAACCUGUGGAAGGACGUGUGGCUCCAGAAUUGGCCUCCACAGUCACAGACUCACUGUUAAGACCAUGUUCAUGGAAGACAAUCUUACUCAGCUACGAGUGAUCGCUGAAGAAGAAGAAGAAGAAGAAGAAGAAGAAGAGUAGAGCCCAGUGGAGGGACAUCUUUACCCAUUGCAGCCCCUUUAUUUUUGUCCACCCACAGUAGUGCUUCAACAGCUAUUGAGAUUGAUGUCCAUUCCAACCAACAGCGUACAUAGUCUAGACCAGGUUUUCCCCAACUUGAGUCUCCAGCUGUUUUUGGACUACAACUCCCAUCAUCCCUAGCUUCCAGGACCAGUGGUUAGCAGGAUGGGAAUUGUAGUCCAAAAACAGCUAGAGGAGACCCAAGUUUGAGAAACCCUGGUCCAGACCCUUAAAACUAAAAAUUUGGUACCAUUAUGCUUCCCCCACAGAAGCCCCCUUCCCCGCUUUCCCCUCAGUCCUCCAGGGCAGCUUUACCAGGGGUGCAUUAUGCUGACUGGGGAAGGAGAAAAUGGUGAAAAAUGUCAUCCCCUCUACCCAUCACAGGAGAGUCUCACAAGCAGGACUCCACUCAUGACUCAUCUAGCUCUAAUCCUUUAACUUUUGUAAAGCAGCCUCCGUUAUUUGUUCCCUUUACAAAUUGCAAACUUGGCUGAGAAAAUGCUGCACAAGGUAGUGUCCCAGAGAGCAAAGUCUCAAACGGCUAUUAUCAAGGUACAAGCGUGCUUGAUAACACAAUCAAGGAUCUCCAUAAUUCAUGCCAAUCUUUUUUAUUCAGGGAGAUAUAAUGAUACGUAUGCGGUGUGGAGAUAAAUGGCAGAAAAUUGUCUCCUUAAAGCUCCAUGUGUAUUUAAAAGAGAUCAAUUAUUGUGCUAAUAAGCCAGCUCAGCAUUACUGCGUCUUCUUUUGAAUGAUAUUCUUAUACUCCUGCUCUUUCUGAUCAUAUUGUUAAGCUCUUUCCCUUUUUGUGUGUGUUCCCUUUUCGGCUCUUUUAAUGACCAAGUGUUUUAUGAAUGCUUUUAGUUCUAAAGCCAGCACCAAGCAGAUGCAAACUGAUGUGUGGAAUUAGUGCUGCCUAGUAAAGUAUUGCAAUUCCAGAGAAUGUAAGCAGCAAAAUUUCUUACAGUGAACGCUUCAAGCGUUGAAGCAACUCGUCCAAAAACUGUAUAAUUGUCCUGGGAAAAUUGGUUAGGGCAGUGGUUCCCAAACUUCCCCACCAACAACUUCCAAAUUGUGGAGGAUUUUGAACCAGCUAAUGUCCCUCCCCACCCCCUGCCUGUUGUAGCAACUGUGCUGUGCUGUGAUAAAUGCUGGAUGAUUUUUAAUUGUAUUUUAUUGCUUUUUCUAUUGUGUUUUAGGUAAAGGUAAAGGGACCGCUGACCAUUAGGUCCAGUAAUGACCGACUCUGGGGUUGCAGCGCUCAUCUCGCUUUAUUGGCCGAGGGAGCCGGCAUACAGCUUCCGGGUCAUGUGGCCAGCAUGACUAAGCCGCUUCUGGCGCCACUGCAUUGCAAUUUGCAUUCGCGUUGUAAUGCAAUUAAAUACAAUAUAAGAAAUAAAAGAAGCAAUGAAACAUACAUUUAAAAAUCAAUAUGAAUAUUAAAAGUGAAGAGGCCACAGGCCGCCUGAAUGAAGCUCACAGACCAUAGUUUGGGAACCCCUGGUUCAGGGAAAUAUAAGGCAGAAGCAGCUUUUGCUUAUAAAAUGAGGAAAUGCAAGAUCUGCUGGGAUAAGCAGCUGAGGAUGCAGUGGAUCUCCAUCUCAGCUGGCUGAUUCCCAGUCAGAGGUGCCACCAUGAGGCGAAGAUGUCGUGCUCGGCUCGGCGGUACAACCUCCUUUGCCCUCUCAAUAUUUGGGGGGCAGAGCCCCCUGCUAAAGAAUAUUGAGGGGGCUGAAGAUACCCAGAGGCAUAGCAAGGGGUGUGUGGUAGGUGCAGGCCGCCCCGGGUGUCCCCACUGAGGGGGGUGACAAAAUGGUGGGCGGCACUCACGCUGGGCCUGCAGCGCGCCCGAGCCAUGCGUCUCUCCUGGAAGUGAUGCGGUGGCUUGAGUGCCCAUAGGCUCUGCGUUGCCCAAACAGUCCACCCGUUGCCUCCCCCUCAGGCUGAGUGGGAGGAGGCAGGCAGACUCCUUGGAGGACCUGUGGUGCCCCAGUGGGUGGCUGGCCCCACCCCAUGGGGGGCUGGCCCCACCCCUGGGUGCAGGGCACGCACGCCACCCCAGGCGCCUGAUCGGCUUGCUCCGCCGCUGAUGACAGCUCUGCCCCCUAGCGUUGGCACACCUGUUCCCAGUUCGGUUUGAAAUGUCCUAUUCAAGCAUAAAGCCUUGUUUUCAGUGAGAGAAAUAAGCGGAUAAAGAACAAGAUGAAGAUGAAAGGGAAGCAAGAGUUGGAAAGGAAAGAAUGGGGAAGUGUUGAUUCUUGUGUUUGUCAAGGGAGCAGUCAGACUACCAGGCAACGGUUACAAUUUUUGGAUAUUAUGACUGCAGUCAAAGUGCUCCAAAAAGGCAUGCCAUGUGGCAUUAAAUGAGUGCAGGGUGUCCUUUUGUAUAUAUGUCACGCACUAUCGAGAUGCAAUUCUUGGAGUUCUGCUACCCAUUCAUCAAUAUCAGGUGGAGAGUGGGAUUUCUAGGCACAUAAAACCAGUUGCUUAGCAACCAAGGCCACACAUUGAAUCCAAGCCACAUGCAUCUUAUUUAGAACCUAUCGGACCAAAAAGUAACCAAGCACCAAGUGAGCAAGUGAAAAUUUAUAGGUUGUGAUUCUUUACUUGACAUCCUUCCAAAAUUAUCUUAGCGUUCCAUUUGUGUAAGAGUAGCCUUUAGCUUUCCAACUCUCCAGGAAGCAAACCUAUCAAAAUUGUUUCGUUUUACUUGUACAGAAUGGAACCAGUGAAUUCUCAGGAAUACCUUUUGCUAUACUAGUAAGUCUGAAAUCAAGCAUGAAGUAAACAAUAGCGUUAAGGGCCUCUUUCCACUUUACGGGGUGGGGGUUGCCUCAAUUCUGGAAUCUGUGAAAGACAUUUGAGACCCAAAUCAUAGACAAUAAUUUCCACUUAGUGGUAAUACAGUUUUCUUGUUGCUGUUGUUUUGGGGGUGGGAAAUGAUCACACUUAUUUGAAUUUAACCAGUUCGGACAUUUCAGAAAUUAUACACGCAUCAGGUGCAAAGUGACUGUACGGCCAACAGUUACUAUUAGCAACAUGAAGUUGGCUUUUUUGUAAGUCCAGGAAAUAAACUAACAACCCUUGUGAAUUCAAUAAUUGCAAGAGUUUGAAAAUGCCUCAACUGAGCCAAGGUUGCUAUGGAGGAAGACAAAUUUCAUUAUUGCUUUUAGUGCCUGGUUAACACAGUGAUUUCUAGUGAGUGUGAGUGUUAACAUUUUAUUGCUCAACCAGUAUUAUCCAUUACCCCAUGGGGAACCAGUGGCUCUUCAGAAGUUGUUGGACUAAAAUUCCCAUCAUCCCUGAUCGUUGGCCAUGAUGGUUGAGACUGUCUUAAACCAAGGUGGGUGCUGUUGCCCAGCUAAACUUAAAAGUCCACAGGUACUGCAUGCUUGAGUUAACCUUUCCUACUGCAAUGUAUUUUCUCACCUAAAACACUUAUAAAACUUACAGCAGUUUUAUAAAUACAGCAGAAUAUAAAUUUUAUGUAUUGAGUUGAAUAGGAUCCAAAAGGCAGCAGUCUGAUUGGUCCUUGAACAAUAGGGUCCAGAAUGCAGCAGUCUGGUUGGUCCUAGAACAAUGCAGCAGUACUGUAUGAUUGGUCCACAGGAGCCACCCAAUCCAUCUUCAGGUGGAAGUGAAUCCGCAACCUGAUUGGCCUACAGGAGAAUCCCAGAAUUAGCCAAUCACGUGCGGCUCAUUGUGUAAAUAAUGUAUAUAAAGCAGAUAUUUUAGGGGAACUUUCAUUCCUCACUACUAUGAGCUGAAUAAAGAGCAUGAAAUACACACUCGACUUCGAGUAUAUUUCAAUAAAUAUUCAGCAUGGAUGCCUCAGACAAGUUGACGAGCAAAUGGGAGAUUGGAGGUCAAGGGGGUAAAGUUUAUCGAAAGAAGAUUUCAGAGAAUACAGUGAAAUGGGAAGUGGGAAGUCUGAGUGGUGGUAGAUCAUGAGUUUUGACGGGAUAAGAGAAAACUGACUGUGACAGACAGGAAAUGUUUUGCCUUACUUGGAGAUCCUGGGAGAUUAAACUGGGACUUUAUGUGGGGAAAGCAAAUGGUCUACCACUGAGUUACAGUCAUUUCCUAAGUAACGAGAGAGAAAGAGAGUAAUUAGAGGAAGACCAGAAGGAGGCAUCUGAUGGGCUUCUCAUGCUGAUGCAGGAAUGCUUCCAGUUCACAAGCUCAGUGAUGGUCUUGUGUUCUGUGUUAUUCACCCAGGAACAAUUGACAUGUAUGGACAACCUUUGUAAUGCAAAUAAUGAGAGUUAUUUCAUGCAUCUUUAUUCUGUACCCACCUGUGUAGGAAGAAUUAGCACCAUCAAACAAGAAGCAUAGAUCCUCCAUGUACAGUGGUACCUCGGGUUAAGUACUUAAUUCGUUCUGGAGGUCCAUUCUUAACCUGAAACUGUUCUUAACCUGAAGCACCACUUUAGCUAAUGGGGCCUCCCGCUGCUGCCACUGCACGAUUUCUGUUCUCAUCCUGAAGCAAAGUUCUUAACCUGAAGCACUAUUUCUGGGUUAGUAGAGUCUGUAACCUGAAGCGUAUGUAACCUGAAGCGUAUGUAACCCGAGGUACCACUGAUUGAGCAAAAUAAACAUGCAUCUUAAAUAGAGAUUGUAAAUAGAGAUUUUCCUUGUAAGGGAAAAUAUGACAUAUAGAAUGGCCACCCAGUGAAGUUUCUUGCUACAAUUCUUACAGAUAUGUUUAUGAGUGAAGAUGGCCUAUGAGAAGUGAGAAGACAAAAAAAUAUUUCCAAUAUGGUCAAGAAACAGAUGAACACUUAAUAUUUUAAAUAAGGAAGGAAGGAAGGAAGGAAGGAAGGAAGGAAGGAAGGAAGGAAGAAUUUUGAAAGCCCUGUUGCUUCCAAAUACAGCGGUACCUCGGGUUAAGAAUUUAAUUCGUUCUGGAGGUCCAUUCUUAACCUGAAACUGUUCUUAACCUGAAGCACCACUUUAGCUAAUGGGGCCUCCCGCUGCUGCCACCCCGCCACCACACGAUUUCUGUUCUCAUCCUGAAGCAAAGUUCUUAACCCGAGAUACUAUUUCUGGGUUAGCGGAGUCUGUAACCUGAAGUGUCUGUAACCUGAAGCGUCUGUAACCCGAGGCACCACUGUAAUGUGUUCGGAAGGCAGGUGGAAAGAAGUUAAACUUCGGUCACCUCCAAAUGACCUGUUUAUUGAUCCUGAUCCGUUUGCACAAAUUUCUCAGGGAGGUUAGACGAUGCUUAUUAUUGAACACUUGCUUGGAUUUGGCUGCAAUGAGGUUAUAUGAUGAUACAUCAAGCAAGUAUCAUUUCCUUUUCAUAUCACUUUCAUUAUUUAAAUGGGCUACAGUGUUAGACCAGGGCUGGAUCUAUAUGGAUAUAAAAAAACACUACAGGAAAAAAAGCUAUAAAAGCUCUCAAAGCAAAAUUGUGUCGCUGGCAGCUCCUCCUACUGCUGCAGAGGGGAAGGAUGAGGGAAGCAUCCCCCAGACAGUGGAUGCAGUAGUAGGAGGAGGAGGCUGAGUGCCAGAGAGAAAGAGCCACCAGCCAUUGAAGCUGGGCUGCUGCGACAUUCAACUCCACCCAUGGCUCCUCCCUGUGUCACAAGGAUGCCAUGUGUGUGUCAUGCCCUCCCGCACGGCAAUCUUCUGCUCAAGUUGCUGUCUCUGACUGUGGGCCAGCUGCCAUAUCUCAGACUAAUUGUUGUUGUUUAGUCGUUUAGCCGUGUCUGACUCUUCGUGACCCCAUGAACUAGAGCACGCCAGGCACUUCUGUCUUCCACUGCCUCCCGCAGUUUAGUCAAACUCAUGUUGGUAGCUUCGAGAACACUAUCCAACCAUCUCAUCCUCUGCCAUCCCUUUCUCAUUGUGCCCUCAAUCUUUCCCAACAUCAGGGUCUUUUCCAAGGAUGUCUUCUCUUCUCAUGAGGUGGCCAAAGUAUUGGAGCCUCAGCUUCAGGAUCUGUCCUUCCAGUGAGCACUCAGGGCUGAUUUCCUUAAGAAUGGAUAGGUUUGAUCUUCUUGUAGUCCAUGGGACUCUCAAGAGUCUCCUCCAGCACCAUAAUUCAAAAGCAUCAAUUCUUCGGUGAUCAGCCUUCUUUAUGGUCCAGCUCUCACUUCCAUACAUCACUACUGGGAAACCAUAGCUUUAACUAUACGGACCUUUGUUGGCACUGCCUUGCCGUGGCGAAGGGGCUUGAAUAACUCAGAGAUGCUAUGAACUAUGCCGAGCAGGGCACCCAAGAUGGACAGGUCAUAGUGGAGAGUUUUGACCAAACGUGAUCCACCUCGAUGAGGAACCGGCAAGCCACUCCAGUAUCCCUGCCAAGAAAACUCCAUGGACAAAGACAACAGACAUAUCUCAGACUAAUGUGAGAAUAAAACAGACAUAUCUCAGACCUAUAUGUGAGAAUAAAACAAGUUCCUUGGAGAGUCGAUGGGAUACACACCAGGCACAUAGAUGUUAUGAAAUCCAUCAGACUUUGCUUUCAGAGCUACAAAUGCGAGCCCAUUAGUGUAAAUGAGAAAGUCGGCGUGCGCAUUGUUUCGAGCAAUUUGUUCAAUCUUUGGUGUAAACAAAUUUGCAGUGCUAAUUGUUUUAAGUAAGCGAAUUGCAUGUGCUCCUCGUCAAAUUCUGCUUUUGUCUUUUCGCAAGAGAGAAUUGUGUAAAUAAAGUGUACUUUGUUUGAUUAAACAAAUCUAUGGGAUUUGAUUUAAAUGUGGUGAAUGAUUAAGUAUGCUAACUCUAUGGGAUUUGAUUUAAAUGUGGUGAAUGUUUAAGUAUGCUAAAUGGAUGACAAAACUAUGAAUCUUCCAUCAAACCCAGGAAGAUCAGUAUGGGCACAAACGAAAACCACAAGCAAACCGGAGUUGUCUGAACUGCCUUUUUUUUGCUAAGCUGAACAGCUUUGUGUAUGGUUUUUGCAAUGCCUCUUUGUCAGUUACCCCAUUUGUGACGAAUAUUCUUUCACUCCUCCCUUCCUUGGAGAACCCUUUCACAUGGGUCAGUUUUCUUGUGAGGAAUAAGCUUUGGACUGGAUUCCUUUAACAGGUGUAUAGCUUAAGUAUCAGAGAAAGAGAUAGAUAAUUUAGACAGACAUUUUGUUUUUAAACCAGCACCUGUUUCCAAGAAGCAUUCUCAUGGAGUCUCAAUGUAUUUUUAUUAACAGAUACAUGUAAAAACAGACUUGCUGGCUCAAAUCAAAUGCUCUCCUCUAUCUCAGUACUUCCGAAAAUAAAUUCCCUCGUGGACCACUUGAAAAUUGCUGAGGGUUUUGGUAGGAAACUUAAUAUUUUUCUCUGCCCAUUUUAGCUAUUGUAAUAUGCUAGGCUAGAUAUUGUAUUACUUUGAAUUGUAUUUUUGUGUUUUUUAUUAUUAUAUCAGAAAUUUAUUGUACUGCAAUGUAAGAAAUAAAAGAAACAAAAAACAUUCAAUUUAAAACCAAUAUGAAUAUUUAAAGCAGACAAGUCGAGGACCACCUGAAUGAAACUCAUGGACCACUGGUGGUCCACAGAGCACAAUUUUGGAACUCCUGCUCUACUUUCUUCUCCAGCUAGUAGCCACCAGCCAUCAAAAGCUAUUAAUGCUUCUUUCCUCAGGUAUCUUCUCACCAUCAGUGCCCACAGAAGAAACUAAAAGAGAAAACCUGAAACGAAACAGGCCUGACUUGGAGAUCAUUGCAACAAUAUUUAACGCUUCCCAGGUAGGCUUCCAUUUUGUCGUUCAGAUUUAAUUUUCACUAUACUGCCGCAAAGGAGUUUAAUUAAAACCACUAAUUAAUCAUUCAGUUGUCCUGAUGCACAACUGGCAGUUAGCUUGAUUUGCCAUGGCACCUAUUUGAUUGAUGGGCAACAUGGCGAGAAGUAACUCAGAUACAUAAAAUGACUUUGCAUGUGGCAAAACUUUUUUGGGCGGGGCAUGGAGGUCAAAUGUGCAUUGUUUUAUGAUGUUCUAAGUCACUGUGUUAGCAAGCCUUGAAAAUCGUGUUUGCAUUUUUUUAUUAUUUUUUUAAAAAGCCCUAGUCAGAAAUAAUUUUCUUCCAAAUGGAAUCUUGGUUAAAAUUGACUUAAGUCCCAUUUGAAAUUAAGCUCUUCAGGAUUCUUCAGUAGCUCAGUCCUGGAAAGGUAAUCUAUGGAUGUGUGUGUGUUUAUGCAAGUGUUGUUCUUGGAUUCCAUUGAAUAUGAUCACGUAUGAGGGCGAGAGGCACAACUCCACUGGUUCAUAAAUUUUAAACUUGAAGAGACAGUUCAAACUACCUUGCCCGCCCUCCUGUAGACAGGUCAUUUAAUUUCCUCUAGUUAUUUCUCUUAUCGAGCCCACCGACGUAUCCGUGGCUAACAUGUGUCUUAUUUGGAAUAAUUUAUUUUCACAAUGGAAGGUUCCUGUUGUUUGCAAAAUGCAUUAUUCAUCUUGCAUUUCGGCAGUGACAAAGCCGUGCCAUGAUAGCCGUUUGUGAGAUAAAAGUAAAUACAUGUGCUUGGAAUUUUUUAAGGGAAGUCUUUUCCACCUCCCUUCCUUUUCGGAAUUAUCGUGAAGUUUAACAGGACUGCUGUUUCAAAGGCAUGGCACAGAAGUUCAAGUGGGUCUC